rnacentral:rRNA from 1 species
GGUCUAGGUGGUUUAUUAAGUUUUCUGUGAAAACCCAGGGCUCAACCCUGAGGACUGCAGGGGAUACUGGUAAACUUGAGGGUGUGAGACGCGUGCGGAAUACUAGGUGUAGCGGUGAAAUGCGUAGAUAUCUAGUAGAACACCAGAGGCGAAGGCGGCCCGCGUGCACACAACUGACACUGAAGCCCGAAAGCAUGGGGAGCGAACAGGAUUAGAUACCCUGGUAGUCC